GGUGGUGGAACUGCAGGUGUGAGCAGAGGUCAGGAAUGCCCCAUGCCAGGCACGUGCAGUUCCAGCCAGCUCCAACAGCCCCUUCAUGGGACAUCAGCUACACUGGAGACACCUCCAGGAAACUAUUUAAAAAGAGCAGAAAGAGUGAGAAAUAGCAGAAUACCAAGGUCAGAGAAAGAGGAGGUUCUCCAUGUUGCUGAAACAAAUUCCAUGCUGCAGUCCAUGGAGGAUCCCCUACUGAAGCAACUAAUUCCUUCAAUUUCUUGAAGGAAAUGCAGACUGUGCAGAGUGCUCUUGUUGGAGCUGAGAACUGUGAGAGGGAAGGAGUGGUAAACAGGAACCACAGUGUACUAACCAUUAGCCCCAUCUACCAACAGUGGUCAGAGGGGAAAGCCAAGAAUAAGACUGAGCUUGGAGGAGGAGGGUGAGAAAAGAAAGGUAUUGUUUUAAUUGUCUUUGUUUCUCACUACUUGAAUGGAUAUUAAUAGGCAGAAACCAGAAUAUUUUUUUUCCCAAUCAAGUCUGCUUUUCCCAUGACUGUAGUGGAUAAGCAGUUUUCCUGUCUUCAUCUUAGCCCACAUGAUUUUCCACCCUAUUUUCUCCCCUAACCCACAAAGGAGUGAACAAUCAACUGGAUGAGUGUUUCACUGUUUGUCGAGGCUAACCAAUCACACAUCCAGACCAAACAUUUUAUCACCUAUAACUUCUAAAUUAAGUUUAAAUUUAGAUAUGACAAGGCCGUCCUGAUUAAGACCACAGAUCAACAAGGCCUUCUGAAGACUAAGAAAACAGAUUUUAAUGACCAGAAAGAUCUUCCAUGUCUGUUAAUGCAAUAAAGGAUUCUUCCUGAUUCAACCUGCAUAUGUUACUCUCCUUUAUCUACAGAUGAUGUACACAUAAAUUGGUUCUUCACAAGGGCUCUAUGUACGUGUAAGCACUUAUGUGUACUUUAGAUGCCAAUUGUAUUUUUGCUAGUUUUAAAUAGGCAAGUAUUGACUAGAUAUUUGUCUGUACAAAAAACAACAACAAACACCUCCCCCCCAAAAAACACCCCGUAAUCACACUGGCAAGUGAUUGCAGAGUUCUGGAAAUUUCUUAUUCAAACCUUUUUGGCAUCAAAACAAAAGAUCUUACAGAGGGGAAGUGUACUCAAAUGCUUCACUUAUAUUUACGUUUCCUACUAUAAAAACAACAGGCAAUAUUAAACAUACGUCUGCUGACCCUUUAUGAGUUUCUUUACUUCUGGUAAGCAUGACCUUCAUAUUACUUUUUGUUUCUUAGGUGUUUAACAUAAAUAAAAAUCUGAAAUUGUAAACUGUUAACACUUCCCCAAGCAAACACGCCUUCUCCAUGAUGGCUAGUGAGGCUGCACACAGCCUUGUGCUGUAGGCGGCCUUUUACCCUUCAGCUGAAUUAGCUCAUUUACAGAUGAACUCUGAUAGCUAAAGUACACAGUACUACAGGCCAAACAAUUCAGAGUCAUAAGUCAUUGUUCUGCACCCUCAUCAGUAAUUCGUUAAUAGAAAACUGCACAUACGUACUUAUAUAUAUCUAUUUAUGUAUGCAUAUACAUAGGGGUGUGUGUAUAGACGUUUCUCAAGGACAAGUGACAUACUGUUGCCAUUUUUACCAACUUGCCUGAGCUUUAGGCAGCACCCCAACAAAUGCCCAAAUACACAAACAAACACAAAAUACAACUCACAGAGCCCUCUGGGGCAAUCCAUUGGCACAUUUUCAGGGGUCAGCAAACAAUUCAGCAGAGAACAGAGAGUGUGCAGCAAAUAAAUAGUAAAAAGAAUGACAUGUGAGUCUUUCUCCUCAGGGAGGUGACAGUGACCUCAAGAAGCUAUUUAAAUUCAUAAGUUCUUCUUAAGGUCUGUUCUUUAUUAAAGUUUGAUAAUUUACAGCCUCGUUAUUAGAGUAUGAAAGUAACUAACACUAAUGAAUUUAAUGAGCACUUCAUUGCAGAUAGACAAAAUGGCUGCAGAGAAAGUUGAAAUGGCUCAUUCCCGAAUAUUUUGUCAGAAGCAAGAUAAAGUCAGAAGUCAAUGAAGUACAUCCAGUGCCAUAAUCACACCAUGUUUCUACUUGUUACUGUGGACCUCUGCAACGUGAUACUUCUGAAUCCCUGUGUAUCUCCAGAGUAUGUGUCCAGCUGAUUUCAUCUUGCAUACAUUUCAGAUUCACUGUGAUUUUAGGCAAUUUUCAUUCUGCAUAAAGCCACAUGCUCAAUGGAUGUUUCAGAAAUACUGCUUCUUAAAAAAUUAAUCAUUUUGAGUCUAAUGCCUACCUGUACCAUACUAUUAUCAGAAAUAGGAUUAACAGUUUUAAAGUUUGUUCUGAGUUGUUCUAAGGAGGCACAUCUUCAUCAAAGAUAACAGACAAGUUAGCCUUUCUUAGGAUUGUCUUCUCCUAGUUUCUAUCCAGUUGCCCAUGUACCUGCAAGACAAAUAGGAAUGCAACCAUUUUCUCAUGAGGAAGAAUUUGAAAUAAAAUUUUAAAAAUUGGCUUUUGUUGACUUUCGAGAAUUGGUUGUGACUACCUUUAGUGAAAUGCACACCCAGUGUAGUAAUUUGCAAGUGACACAUAAGUGCCAUCAGCCUUACCACAUUUUUAUUUGUUCAUGUGAGUGUCAUCGUGCUGCUGCAUUUCUGUGAGCUGUUUUGACAGCUGAGUACACCAGCAUAUGGCUAUACUUGUUUUCCUUGACUGCAUCUUUUGUUAUGGGGAGACCAGGGAGUAGGUCCCAAAUGAUAGUUUACUCCUGCUUUCGGAGGGCUGGUCUGUCAAAAAGCUGGUGGCAGCAAGGAUUCCAUAUUUAUUUUGUGUUGUUUUAGAACAAACUACUUAAAAUACCAGUGUGUAAAUCGUGCAUAAAGCCGAGGAUUAUGUGACACCCGAGUUCAACAUGACCAGCAUUGCAGAUAUCUACAAUAGUAUACAUAAACCAGGCUGUCUGAAAAGUCUGGUACUGUAUAGUUGAAGACAAAAAAAGAAAUUCUUCUCAUCUUCUAGUUUCUGUCCCAGCCAAGGUCUAAAGUUCAUUUUAAGUAUGUUAACUGUAACAUAUGCUUCAGGUCAGCAGACACAUUCCUAACUGCCCAUAUUCUAAAGGAUUAGAUGGCUCUAUCUCCUGCUCGUGCUCGAUCAGUAUCAGUCAAACACCACCUGAACCAAUUAUUUACUCACUCACAGCUGUCCUGUUUGGACAGUUUGUUGCCUACUGUUUCCACCUCUACACUCUCUUCCCCAUAAGAUCAUAUUGCUUUUCCAUGUCCACACCAGUCCUCUGAUCCUCAUCCUCCCAGGUGGGCAGCUUGAAGCAACACAAGGUGCUUAAUUAAAUUCUCCCACUAAAAAGAUUUCUCUGGGAAAUACAUGGCUUCUCCAUUUGUCCUGAAGCACUACUCUAAUUUGGAUAGCUAGAAAUGAAGUGUUGACAGCAUAUUGGAAUGCUGAAAAUUUGAAUUUUGACAUGAAACUGCAGUAAUUCUGCUUGAAAAUAAAAACACUGAUUGAGAAAUAUUAGUUAUUCUCUUUUUUCUAAAAUUUGGACAACCAUUCUGUAUCAGCUCAGCAAAAUGAGAGGAAAAGAUCAUACUGAGCUGCUUAAAAUUAAUGUAUUGUGCUUUUAACAGUUAAAUUCCCUUUUAAAUGUGGAAACUCAUGUUCUUAAAAGAAAGAAAAGUUCUUACAAUUAAUUUGCAUAAAGAACAUUUGUAAAACAAGUUAAAGGAGCAGUACUGUGAUCCAAAAGAGAAAGAGGAACAGAGGGUAAAGCUGGUAUAAACUGCAGUGUUCUCAAUGGUAUCAAAGAUGGCAGCUGCUAUUAAAAUGCAGGUAGAGAACGUCACCAUAUCUAGAUGGACAUAGGUUCUCAAAAGAAGAAAACUUAAUAGAAUGGGUUAAGCUACAGCCACCAUCCAAAAGUUACAUUCAGAUUUUAGAUUUGGAUUUCAUUACAUUACAGCAUUUUGAACAGCCAAAAACAUUGAUUUAGCUGUGUAACUAAUAAGAAGGACAUAAGAAGUCUGUUGUUUCUUAAACUGACUGACUUAGAUUUCCUAGUGCCAGCCUUCCCUGCUACAGUGACAUGAAUACUUAAUUCACAAAGUUUUAAAUCUGUUUUGAAAGGCUUCCCAAAUGCCAGUUUCAAUAAUCUUAUGAUUGACAUCUUGAAUUACAUCAACUCAUACACUAGGAGGCACAAUCAGCCUUACAGUAAACGAAGUACUCUUGAAGCUUUUUAGGCUUGACAAUAGCUUAAUCAGAUGCCAAAACGUCACAUUACAAUAGUGAAAACCAAAGAAAUGAAAGGACUGCAUGCAGAAAUCUGUCUCCAGAAAAAUAAACGGGAAAAUGUGAAAACAGACAGAGAGGAAGCUAGUGCUUCCAAAUUGCUCACCUUGAUAUCAUCAUUAUCAUUAUUGAAUGACUCAAUCCACAUUUGAUUUAUAUCCCCAUCCAAAACUAACCAUUUUGGCCCCUCAUGCAUAGCUUUAGUUUGCUCUCUGAGGAGAAGACUGUAAACUUGUAAACAGCGUUUCAAGAAAAUCACACCAUUUUAGUAGUGUAAAGCAAUUAAAACUUCAGAGUCUUAAUUUAUCACUGAAACAAGAAGAUUUUGCGGCAUAUCAAAACCAUGCUUUGCUUUUUAGAUUGUCAAUGUAAAGCAAAAAUAGUUUUAUUGAACACUCGAUACAGCAAAAUGACUACAUUUUAUACAGUAAGAAUCUAUUCCUAUGUGUCAAAGGUCUUAAAGAUAUGGGGAGAUAUGGGAGGUUCCUUGGUUCUGGAGAGAAAAUAAUUCACCCUCUAAGGCAGUUGAAUCAGCAUCAUUAAGUUCUCUACUUUUCUGCUAUUAGCAUCAUGUCCUGCCUCCAGUGUUUCCACAAUUACCAGUGCUGUGCAUUCG
ensembl:lncRNA